ACACUGCACGAUCUGUUCCAUGCUUCCGGUCAUAGUUGUAGCGGUCUGCCAUUAGCCUCCACCGGAAAGCCAACGUUAGUUUAGCUAACAGCUAAUUCGGCUAACCGCUAGCUGAGACAGCAUGUUAAGGACCCUCAAACCUGAAAAUAACUGUUAAAAUAUAUAACAG